AGCUCGCGGCCUAUCAGCUUGUUGGUGAGGUAAUGGCUCACCAAGGCGACGACGGGUAGCCGGCCUGAGAGGGCGACCGGCCACACUGGGACUGAGACACGGCCCAGACUCCUACGGGAGGCAGCAGUGGGGAAUAUUGCACAAUGGGCGAAAGCAUGAUGCAGCGACGCCGCGUGAGGGAUGACGGCCUUCGGGUUGUAAACCUCUUUCAGCAGGGAAGAAGCGAAAGUGACGGUACCUGCAGAAGAAGCACCGGCUAACUACGUGCCAGCAGCCGCGGUAAUACGUAGGGUGCGAGCGUUGUCCGGAAUUAUUGGGCGUAAAGAGCUUGUAGGGGGUUUGUCGCGUCUGCUGUGAAAAUCCGGGGCUCAACCCCGGACCUGCUGUGGGUACGGGCAGAUUAGAGUAUGGUAGGGGAGACUGGAAUUCCUGGUGUAGCGCUGUUUCUCGCCGAUAUCGGGAGAANCGCCCGCCGCGCCCCGCGCCCG
rnacentral:rRNA from 1 species